UAAACUAGGAUUAGAUACCCUAUUAUAUUAAAGUUAAAUUUAUGAAUACUGAGUUAUUAGUAGAUAUUUCUUAAAAUUUAAAGAAUUUGGCGGUAAUUUAGUCUUGUUAGAGGAAUUUGUUUUUUAAUCGAUACACCACGUUAUAUCUUACUUGUUUUAAAUAGUUUGUAUACCAUCAUUAUUAGAUAAUUUUAAAAGAAAAAAUUAUUAAAAAUAAAUAUAUUAAAAAAAUUAGAUCAAGGUGCAGCUGAUAAACAAGUUAAAAUGAGUUACAAUAAAAUUUAUUUAUACGGAAUAAUUUAAAAAAUUAAAUUAUAAAGGUGGAUUUAAUUGUAAUAUAAGUUUAAUAAACCUAUAAGAUAUAAGCUCUAAAUUAUGUACACAUCGCCCGUCACUCUCA
rnacentral:rRNA from 1 species